GUGCCAGCAGCCGCGGUAAUACGUAGGUGGCAAGCGUUGUCCGGAUUUAUUGGGCGUAAAGCGAGCGCAGGUGGUUCUUUAAGUCUGUUGUGAAAGCCCUCAGCUCAACUGAGGAAGUGUAGCGGAAACUAAAGGACUUGAGUACAGAAGAGGAUAGUGGAACUCCAUGUGUAGCGGUGAAAUGCGUAGAUAUAUGGAAGAACACCAGUGGCGAAGGCGGCUAUCUGGUCUGUUACUGACACUGAGGCUCGAAAGCAUGGGUAGCGAACAGGAUUAGAUACCCUGGUAGUCCAUGCCGUAAACGAUGAAUACUAGGUGUUGGAGGGUUUCCGCCCUUCAGUGCCGCAGCUAACGCAUUAAGUAUUCCGCCUGGGGAGUACGACCGCAAGGUUGAAACUCAAAGGAAUUGACGGGGGCCCGCACAAGUGGUGGAGCAUGUGGUUUAA
rnacentral:rRNA from 1 species